CGCCGAGUCGCGGGAAAGGGAGCCUGGUGGCGGUGACGUGUUGGGCGAACUCUGCGGAGACAGGCGUCGCCAUGACGACGGGCUCCGGCGCACGCUGCCGCUGCAGCUCGCUUCAGCGCCGCAGCCGGCCGGACCGAAUUUCAGCCAGUAGCCCAUCGUGUCGUGGUCCGGCCACUAGCGCCGCUUUUCCGUCGAGUCGCGGGUUUUUCGCGCGUGUUCAACCGUGCGCCAGGAUGUGAGGAAGAGCAGCCGUAAUUUCCACCGGCGCGCUCCAUCGGACUACACUCUUUUCAGCCAAGGUUUCGGCGGGUUCCGGGGCGGGCUUGAAUGCAGGAGGGCGAGCGGGAGAAUGCGGAGGUGCGUGAGGAGUGCGGAGCAGAGAAACCGCGACAACGGUCGCGGAGCAGGGACAAAGAGAAGGAGAGCGAGGAGCCGGCGGCGGAGGCCCUCGGGUGGGACAUCGACGCCGACCUGGAGCUCACCGGGGAGGGCGACGCCAAGCUCUCCCUCCAGAGGAUGCUCUCGGCCGGACACAACCAGCCCAGCCCGGCCGCCCUCCGCAGGCGUCUCCACCACCCCCCAAGACGCUCCGCUACCAUGACCUUCCAGCAAACGUGGCGGAGCAGCACAUCUGACAUCGAAGCUCUCUCUCAAAGAAGUCCAUCAUCAUCAAGGUAAGUUACAAAACUUUGCAUCCGACUAGUCGUUGAGACUCGCCGGUUUAAGUAAGUUCAACAUUUAAAGUCAAAAUUUUGUGAUGAGUGCUGACAUCGAUGACAUCUUUCGUAACUGUAUAAAUUUAAAUUUAUUACAUCUGCAACGCUGUAAAUACAUCCUCGCCAUUGAAAAUUAAUACGGUCCUGUAAGAUUUU
rnacentral:lncRNA from 1 species